rnacentral:rRNA from 1 species
CAGCCGCCGCGGGAAUACAGAGGGUGCGAGCGUUAAUCGGAUUUACUGGGCGUAAAGCGUGCGUAGGCGGCUUUUUAAGUCGGAUGUGAAAUCCCCGAGCUUAACUUGAGAAUUGCAUUCGAUACUGGGAAGCUAGAGUAUGGGAGAGGAUGAUAGAAUUCCAGGUGUAGCGGUGAAGUGCGUAGAGAUCUGGAGGAAUACCGAUGGCGAAGGCAGCCAUCUGGCCUAAUACUGACGCUGAGGAGCGAAAGCGUGGGGAGCAAACAGGAUUAGAUACCCCAGUAGUCCCUGUCUCUUAUAC